CGUGUAGGCGGAAGGGCAAGUACCUUGUGAAAUCCCCGGGCUCAACCCGGGAAUGGCUGGGUAUACUGUCUUUCUUGAGGCAGGUAGGGGUCACUGGAACCUUAGGUGGAGCGGUGAAAUGCGUAGAUAUCUAAGGGAACGCCUGUGGCGAAAGCGGGUGACUGGGCCUGUCCUGACGCUGAGACGCGAAAGCGUAGGGAGCAAACGGGAUUAGAUACCCCGGUAGUCUACGCCGUAAACGAUGCGCACUAGGUUCGAAGGUCCCUGACGACACUCGAGCCGAAACAAAAGCGAUAAGUGCGCCGCCUGGGGAGUACGGCCGCAAGGCUAAA
rnacentral:rRNA from 1 species